UAGGGAAUCUUCGGCAAUGGGGGGAACCCUGACCGAGCAACGCCGCGUGAGUGAAGAAGGUUUUCGGAUCGUAAAGCUCUGUUGUUAAGGAAGAACGAGUGUGAGAAUGGAAAGUUCAUGCUGUUACGGUACUUAACCAGAAAGGGACGGCUAACUACGUUCCAGCAGCCGCGGUAAUACGUAGGUCCCGAGCGUUGUCCGGAUUUAUUGGGCGUAAAGCGAGCGCAGGCGGUUAGAUAAGUCUGAAGUUAAAAGCAGUGGCUCAACCAUUGUAGGCUUUGGAAACUGUUUAACUUGAGUGCAGAAGGGGAGAGUGGAAUUCCAUGUGUAGCGGUGAAAUGCGUAGAUAUAUGGAGGAACACCGGUGGCGAAAGCGGCUCUCUGGUCUGUAACUGACGCUGAGGCUCGAAAGCGUGGGGAGCGAACAGG
rnacentral:rRNA from 1 species